rnacentral:rRNA from 1 species
UAAUAGUGUAUGUUAAAGUUGUUGCAGUUAAAACGCUCGUAGUUGGAUGUACGAAUAUGUCAGAAUUUAUUGAAGCUAUUUUUCAAAAAUAGUGGAGAGGGUUUAAGAUGUAUUUGAGGGUUAUAAUCAAAUUAGGAUGUUUUAGUAUUCUAGAAGAUGGAAAGAUAUCUUCGGAUUGAAUGAAGUCUUACUAGGUAUUAAUAUUGUUCGAAGUUUGGAUAUAAUUCGUAAAAAUCUUCUUUAAUUUCGGUUGAAGGAGACGUUUACUUUGAGCAAAGAUUGGUGUUCAAAGCAGGCAUAAAGUCACUUUUAAAGAGUGAUGAACAGGCUUGAGAUAUCUAGCAUGGGAUAAUGUAAAAAGACUCUUGCUUUAUUUUGUUGGUUUUAUAAAGCCGAGUAAUGGUUAAUAGGGACAGGUCGGGGGCGUUGAUAUUCAAUAGUGAGAGGUGAAAUUCGAUGAUCUAUUGAGGAUUAACAGAAGCGAAAGCGUUCGCCAAGGAUGUUUUCAUUAA